UACGAAGGGGGCUAGCGUUAUUCGGAAUUACUGGGCGUAAAGGGCGCGCAGGCGGCCCUCCAAGUCAGGCGUGAAAGCCCCGGGCUCAACCCGGGAAUAGCGCUUGAGACUGGGGGGCUUGAGUUCGGGAGAGGAGAGUGGAAUUCCCAGUGUAGAGGUGAAAUUCGUAGAUAUUGGGAAGAACACCGGUGGCGAAGGCGGCUCUCUGGACCGACACUGACGCUGAGGCGCGAAAGCGUGGGGAGCAAACAGG
rnacentral:rRNA from 1 species